GGAUUAUAGCUCAGUUGGUUCAGUGUUUGCUUCACAUGCCCAAGGCCCUGAGUUCAAUCCCCAGCACCA
rnacentral:tRNA from 1 species